GGCAAAUUCUUCUAACUUUAUGCCCCAAGACAGAUCUUUCCUAGAGAGCUGACGGUAGAUUUGCAAACCAAAGCAUGCUCCCCAGGUGUUCUGCUGAGUCAUUACCUUAGAUAUCAGCAGCACAACGGCUGAGAGGUCUUUGGGGUCACCUUUACCGAACUUCGGGGCGUCCAGAGUCUCCUCCCAUGCACGUUUGGGUUCACGCUGUCACACCUAAGAAUGAGCAGGUGAGAAGAUGCUGCUCGGUUCUUGCCUUAAAGCGGGAUGAUCCUGCCAUCUUGGAGAAGACCCAGGCUGGUGUUUGCUCCUUUAAGCGACUGGGACUCCCAAAUCUGCAGACUUUCUAGCAUCCUGCAGGGUGGCCAUGGUCUAGUUGAGCAGCCAGAAAGAAGCUCAUCAAUUGGAAUGGAGUUUGUCUCCUGUUUCUAGUUUCUUCAUCCAGAGCGGAAUUUUUCAAGAUGUGGUCCAAGGACGACCUGAGUCAGACUCACCCCAGGUCUAGGUGAAUGUCCACAACCACUGAAGCAGAAUCUUCAUGGGGUAGAUUCUAAACAAAACCUACAUUUGGAAGAAGCUCCUUAAGAAUUAUUCUGCAUAAUAAAACAUAUAAAACAGACACCUAGAGGUAUUAUUAGCUUGCUGCAAAAGUAGUUGCAGUUUUUGCCAUUACUAUUGUGCCAACCUAGUAUUAUCAAUUUAUUGCUAAUUGACACAGAUAUUUAGAUGACUCUUUGAAAACUUAUAUUUUUGGCCAGGUGCAGUGGCUCACACCUGUAAUACCAAUGCUUUGGGAGCCUGAAGCAGGAAGAUCACUUGACUGAGGCCAGGAGUUUGACACCAGCCUAGACAACAUAGUGAGACCCCAUCUCCACAAAUUAACACACACACACACACACACACACACACACACACACAUUUUUGUCCAAUGGCAGACAUCUCAUAAUCGGCAGAGUGAAGACUCAAACCCUUUGCCUUGUGUUCCUUCCCCUAUGUGACAGCUGCCUUGCUUUUGUCUGUCGAACCCUCAGGGGCAAAGCCCUGCACAGCCUGUCACCUGCUUGACACCAGAAAGCCCCGUCACUUUUUGUGGCAGGUGAAGGGUCCCUGGAUUUCACUCCACCUCUUAAAUUUCCUCUCCCUGUCCUUUCCAAAACACAUGCUGCAAACCAAAGAAUCCUGAAAUGUAUUUUAAGCAACUGUAGGAUAUAUAUCCAUGUAACCCAGAUAUGAGGUAACUUAUAUCAAUCUUCCCUCACCACGCCAUUCCCCAGCAAACGGAAGUGACUGCACACAAAUUUAAAUAACUGUUGACUCAACUCAGCUUUUUGCACCAAAGCAUAUCAGAGAUUACUGCUCACUUGUGAUUGGCUGUCCUUGAUAGCACAUCUGCCUUGGUCCAUUCAGCUGUGACGAGGGACAUAGGACACCUGGGCAACAGAGACUGUGGGGGGACAGUUUCAUUUAGAGUGGUGGGCAGAGCAGUCACCAUACCUGACAUUUCUAGUACAAUCCACAAGGUAGUCAAGUCCCAGAAGACUGCUGAAAGUACAUUUUAUAAUAACUAGUGUCAGGCCUCUGAGCCCAAGCCAAGCCAUCGCAUCCCUUGUGACUUGCACGUAUACAUCCAGAUGGCCUAAAGUAACUGAAGAUCCACAAAAGAAGUAAAAACAGCCUUAACUGAUGACAUUCCACCGUUGUGAUUUGUUCCUGCCCCACCCUAACUGAUCAAUGUACUUUGUAAUCUCCCCCACCCUUAAGAAGGUACUUUGUAGUCUCCCCCACCCUUAAGAAGGUUCUUUGUAAUUCUCCCCACCCUUGAGAAUGUACUUUGUGAGAUCCACCCCUGCCCGCCAGAGAACAACUC
rnacentral:lncRNA from 1 species